rnacentral:rRNA from 1 species
AGUGAACGCUGGCGGUAGGCCUAACACAUGCAAGUCGAACGGCAGCACAGUAAGAGCUUGCUCUUACGGGUGGCGAGUGGCGGACGGGUGAGGAAUACAUCGGAAUCUACUUUUACGUGGGGGAUAACGUAGGGAAACUUACGCUAAUACCGCAUACGACCUACGGGUGAAAGCCGGGGAUCUUCGGACCUUGCGCGAUUGAAUGAGCCGAUGUCGGAUUAGCUAGUUGGCGGGGUAAAGGCCCACCAAGGCGACGAUCCGUAGCUGGUCUGAGAGGAUGAUCAGCCACACUGGAACUGAGACACGGUCCAGACUCCUACGGGAGGCAGCAGUGGGGAAUAUUGGACAAUGGGCGCAAGCCUGAUCCAGCCAUACCGCGUGGGUGAAGAAGGCCUUCGGGUUGUAAAGCCCUUUUGUUGGGAAAGAAAAGCAGCAGGUUAAUACCCCGCUGUUCUGACGGUACCCAAAGAAUAAGCACCGGCUAACUUCGUG